rnacentral:rRNA from 1 species
GAGAAGGGGCCUGAGAAAUGGCCACUACGUCUAAGGAUGGCAGCAGGCGCGCAAAUUACCCACUCUCGGAUAGAGGAGGUAGUGACGAGAAAUACCGGCGACUCGCCCUUUGGGUGCAGUCACUGGAAUGGGUGCAAUCUAAACCCUUGAACGAGUAUCAAGCAGAGGGCAAGUCUGGUGCCAGCAGCCGCGGUAAUUCCAGCUCUGCCAGUGCAUAGAAUCAUUGCUGCGGUUAAAAAGCUCGUAGUUGGAUCUCAGAGCGCGGCCGGGUCGUGCCGAGAGGUGCGCACUCGCGUCGUGCUCCGCCAGCCGGCCUGACGCUUCGUCGCUCCUUCGGGGGCUUCGUGGCGGACGGUUGGCGAGUUUACUUUGAACAAAUCAGAGUGCUCAAAACAGGCCCAGCGCCUGUAUGCUUUUGCAUGGAAUAAUGGAAGAGGAUUUCGGUUCUGUUUUGUUGGUUUCGAAGCCGAGAUAAUGGUUAACAGGGGCAGACGGGGGCAUUGGUAUUUCUGCGUGAGAGGUGAAAUUCUUGGACCGCAGGAGGACCGACAACAGCGAAGGCAAUUGCCAAGAAUGUCCCCAUUAAUCAAGAACGAAAGUCAGGGGAGCGAAGGCGAUUAGAUACCGCCGUAGUCCUGACCGUAAACGAUGCUAACUAGCGAUCCGUCGGAGACCGCCACCACUGGUGCCGAUGGGGAGCUUACGGGAAACCAAAGUGUUUCAGCUCCGGGGGUAGUAUGGUCGCAAGGCUGAAACUUAAAGGAAUUGACGGAAGGGCACCACCAGGAGUGGAGCCUGCGGCUUAAUUUGACUCAACACGGGAAACCUCACCCGGGCAGGACACCGCAAGGAUUGACAAAUUGACAGCUUUUUCAUGAUUCGGUGGUUGGUGGUGCAUGGCCGUUCUUAGUUCGUGGAGUGAUCUGUCUGGUUAAUUCCGAUAACGAGCGAGACCCGCGCCUGCUAACUAGUUGGGACGUACACCGUCGCGUCUCAGCGCACUUCUUAGAGGGAUCUGCGGCGCUAGCCGCAUGAAAGUGGGCAAUAACAGGUCUGUGAUGCCCCUAGACGCCCGGGGCUGCACGCGCGCUACACUGGCGAAGUCAUCGUGCUUGCGCUGGCCCGAGAGGGUCGGCUAAUCCGUUGAAAAUUCGCCGUGACUGGGAUCGGAGAUUGCAAUUGUUCUCCGUGAACGAGGAAUUCCAAGUAAGUGUGAGUCAUCAACUUGCGCUGAUUACGUC